rnacentral:rRNA from 1 species
GAUGAACGCUGGCGGCGUGCCUAAUACAUGCAAGUCGAGCGAACGGGCCCGACGCUUGCUUCGCUGAUGUUAGCGGCAGGCGUGUGAGUCACACGUGGAUCCCCUCCCUAUAAUACUGGGAUCACUUCGGGAAACCGGAUCUAAUCCCGUAUGAUAUUUUGCACCGCGUGGUUCAAUAGUGAGAUACGGCCGUUCUGUCUGUUCUCGCGGGAUCCGAGCUGCAUUGGCUAGUUGGUAAGGUAACGGCUUACCAAGGCAACGAUGCCUAGCCGACCUGAGAGGGUGAUCGGCGACACUGGAACUGAGACGCGGUCCAGACUCCUACGGGAGGCAGCAGUAGGGAAUCUUACGCAAUGGGCGAAAGCCUGACGGAGCAACGCCGCGUGAGUGAUGAAGGUCUUCGGAUCGUAAAACUCUGUUACUAGGGAAGAACAUAUGUGUAAGUAAAUGUGCACAUCGUGACGGUACCUAAUCAGAAAGCCACGGCUAACUACGUG